rnacentral:rRNA from 1 species
AUUGAACGCUGGCGGCAUGCUUUACACAUGCAAGUCGAACGGUAACAGGUCUUCGGAUGCUGACGAGUGGCGAACGGGUGAGUAAUGUAUCGGAACGUGCCCAGUAGUGGGGGAUAACUACUCGAAAGAGUGGCUAAUACCGCAUGAGAACUGAGGUUGAAAGCGGGGGACCUUCGGGCCUCGCGCUACUGGAGCGGCCGAUAUCAGAUUAGGUAGUUGGUGGGGUAAAGGCCUACCAAGCCGACGAUCUGUAGCUGGUCUGAGAGGACGACCAGCCACACUGGGACUGAGACACGGCCCAGACUCCUACGGGAGGCAGCAGUGGGGAAUUUUGGACAAUGGACGCAAGUCUGAUCCAGCAAUGCCGCGUGCAGGACGAAGGCCUUCGGGUUGUAAACUGCUUUGUACAGAACGAAAGGGACUCUGGUUAAUACCUGGGGCAGAUGACGGUACUGUAAGAAUAAGCACCGGCUAACUACGUGCCAGCAGCCGCGGU